rnacentral:rRNA from 1 species
UACGUAGGGAGCAAGCGUUGUCCGGAAUCAUUGGGCGUAAAGCGUGCGUAGGCGGUUUGUUAAGUCCGCUGUGAAAGCCCUGGGCUCAACCUGGGAAUUGCAGUGGAUACUGGCAAGCUAGAGUGCGGUAGAGGAUGGUGGAAUUCCCGGUGUAGCGGUGAAAUGCGUAGAGAUCGGGAGGAACACCCGUGGCGAAGGCGGCUUCCUGGACCAGAACUGACGAUCAGGCUCGAAAGCGUGGGGAGCAAACAGG